rnacentral:rRNA from 1 species
GACGAACGCUGGCGGCGUGCUUAACACAUGCAAGUCGAACGAAGUGGCGAACGGGUGAGUAACGCGUAAUCAACCUGCCCUUCAGAGGGGGACAACAGUUGGAAACGACUGCUAAUACCGCAUACUGAAGGAGGGGAUUGCGUCGGAUUAGCUAGUUGGAGGGGUAACGGCCCACCAAGGCGAGGAUCAGUAGCCGGACUUGGGGGAUGAACGGCCAAAUUGGGACUGGGACACGGCCCCGACUCCUACGGGAGGGAGCAAUGGGGAAUCUUCCGGAAUGGACGGAAGUCUGACGGAGCAAAGCCGCGUGAGUGAUGACGGGCUUCGGGUUGGAAAGCUCUGUUAAUCGGGACGCGGUACCGAAAUAGAAAGCCACGGCUAACUACGUGCCAGCCGCCGCGGUAAUUC